AUCAAGUCUUUGAACGCAAGUUACGCCCAAAGCCAUUAGACCGAUGGCACAUCUGCCUGGACGUCACACAUCGCGUCACCCCCUCGUAUUGUACCUUAAUCAUGGGGCGCGCUAUCAUUACGGUGCGGAUAUUGGCCUCUCAUGCACCUCGAGCUCGCGGCUGGCCUAAAUAUGAGUCUGCGUCGAUGGCCGUCACAUCAAGUGGUGGUUCUAACUUAACUCUCUUUGCUGUCACGGCUACUGCUCGUCGUGCAUUCGGACACCCGAACCCUACCGCUCUUAGGCGCUCCAACCGCGAACCCAGGUCGGCAACUGUACAUUUCGAACGCUGGCCUGUAGGCUCCCCAUUAAACCCAUCUUGAAACAUAGACCAAGGAGUCUGACUUGUGUAUGGAUAAAUGGUUGAGUAAACCCAUAAGGCGUAAGGAAUCUGAUUGGUGGGAUCCUUCUGAGGGGUGCACCGCCUACCGACCUUGAUCUUCUGAGAAGGGUUCAAGUGUGAGCAUACCUAUCGGGACCCGAAAAGUGGUGAACUAUGAUUGAGUGAGGCGAAGCCAUAGAAAACUCUGGUAGAGGCCCGCAGCGAUACUGACGUGCAAAUCGUUCGUCUGACUUGGGUAUAGGGGUGAAAGACUAAUCGAAAUGUCUAGUAGCUGGUUCCCUCCGAAGUUUCCCUCAUGAUAGCUGGAACUCAUGAGCGAUUUCUAUCGGGGAAAGCUAAUGAUUAGAGGCCUCAGGGGCGCAAUGCCCUUGACCUAUUCUCAAACUUUAAAUAGGUAGGACAGCGCGGCUGCUUUGCUGAGCCACGCCACAGAAUCAAGAGCUCUAAGUGGGACAUUUUUGGUAAGCAGAACUGGUGAUAUGGGAUGAACCGAAAGUCAGGUUAUGGUGCCAAACUGCACGUUAACCUAGAUCCCACAAAAGGUGUUGGUCGAUUAAGACAGCAGGAUGAUGGUCAUAGAAGUCGAAAUCCACUAAAGAAUGUGUAACAACUCACCUUCCGAAUCAACUAACCCUAAAAAUGAAUGGCUCUUAAGCGCGCGACCUACACCCGGUCGUUGGGGAAAGUUCUAAGCCUCGAUGAGUAGGAGGGCAUGGUGGUCGCUGCAAUACCUUGGGCGCGAUCCUGGGCAGAGCGGCCGUCGGUGUAAAUCUUGGUGGUAGUAGAAAAUAUUCAAAUGAGAACUUUGAAGGCUAAAGAGGAGAGAGGUUCCAUGUGAACGACACUUGCACAUGGGUUAGUCGAUCCUAAAGGUCGGGGAAACCCCGAUAGUAGCGCAUUUUGUGCGUACUCCAAAAGGGAAUUGGGUUACAAUUCCUGAAUCGAGAUAUGGCGGUUGACGUCAACAUUACGAAGUCUGGAUACGUCAGUAGGAGGCUUGGGAAGAUUUAUUUUUUUUGUUUAAUAGCCUGCCUACUCUAGAAUCGGUCAGCCAGAGGUAGGGUCCAGAGGCUGGAAGAGCACCACACGCUGCAUGGUGUCCGAUGCUCUCCCGACGGCCCUUAAAAAUAUGAAGGACCAAAUUCCAUCCACUCCCGGUCGCACUCUUAAUCGCAUCAGGUCUCCAAGGUGAACAACCUCUAGUCGAUGGAACAAUGUAGGCAAGGAAAGUCGGUAAAAUGGAUCUGUAACUUCGGGAAGAGGAUUGACUCUGAGGGCUGGGCACGAGGGUCCCAGUCUCGAACCCAUUGGUUGUUGGUGUAUUGCACGAGAUGCUCCCGCAGCAAGAGCGGGUUGCCGCAUGCCGACCUGGGGACAUACUGGGAAUGGUUCUUUCGAGGGCCUUCCCCGCGCGUUAAACAACCAACUCAGAACUGGUACGAACAAGCGGAAUCCGACUGUUUAACUAAAACAAAGCAUUGCGAUAGUCCCAAUGGAUGUUCAUGCAAUGUGAUAUCUGCCCAGUGCUCUAAUUGUCAAAGUGAAGAAAUUUAAGCAAGCGCAGGUAAACAGCGGGAGUAACUAUGACUCUCUUAAGGUAGCCAAAUGCCUCGUCAUCUAAUUAAUGACGCACAUGAAUGGAUUAACGAGAUUCCCACUAUCGUUGUCUACUAUUCUUCCAAACCACAGCCAAGGGAACGCGCUUGGGAAAGUCAGUGGGGAAAGAAGACCCUGUUGAGCUUGAAUCUAGUCCGACUUUAUGAAAUGACAUGAGAGGUGUAGUAUAAGUGGGAGCCGAAAGGCGAAAGUGAAAUACCACCACUUUUAACGUUAGUUUACUUAUUCUGUGAAUUGGAAGCGGGGAACUGCCCCUCUUUUUGGACCCAAGGCUUGCUCUGCGGGCCGAUCCGGGCGGAAGACAUUGUCAAGUGGGGAGUUUGGCUGGGGCGGCACAUCUGUUAAAAGAUAAAGUAGGUGUCCGAAGAUGAUCUCAACAAGAAUAGAAAUCUCAUGUGGAAUAAAGGUAAAAGCUCAUUUGAUUCUGAUUUCUAGUACGAAUACGAUCCAUGAAAGCAUGGCCUAACGAUCCUUUAGACCUUUAAAAUUCAAAGCUAUAGGUGUCGAAAAAGUUACCACUAGGAUAACUGGUUUGUGGCAGCAAAGCAUUCAUAGAGAUGUUGCUUUCUGAUGCUUCAAUGUUGACUGUUCCUAUCAUUGUGAAGUAGAAUUCACCAUGUGUUGGAUUGUUCACCGACCAAAAGGGAACGUGAUAUGAGUUUAGACCAUUGUAAGACAGAUUAGUUUUACCCUACUGAUGAAAGUGUCGCAAUAGUAAUUCAACCUAGUACGAGAGGAACCGUUGAUUAUCAUAAUUGGUCAUCGUAUUUGGUUAAAAAGCCAGUGGAACGAAGCUAACAUGUGCUGGAUUAUGACUGAAUUCCUCUAAGUCAAAAUCCAGGCUAGAAGCAAUGCAUGUGCCCACCGCCUACUUACUGACCCAUAGUAGGGGCCUCAGCCCCUAAGGGCACGUGUCAUUGGCUAAGCCACCGCGGCCAAAGGGUUGCGGUGGCCUAUCU
rnacentral:rRNA from 1 species